rnacentral:pre_miRNA from 1 species
CUUGUAUAUCUGCAUUUGCACCUGCACUUUAAUUUGCUUGGUUUCUCUGUAACAUAAACAAGAGAAAGUGAGGAUGAGAAGAAAUAUUUUAUGUAGGAGUAAAGUGACCAAGAACAAAGGUAAGGUGCAGGUGCCUCUGCAGAUGAAUGCC